rnacentral:lncRNA from 1 species
UCCCCAAGCUACAGCCCCACAUCCCCUGCAUAUAGUCCCACAUCCCCAUCCUAUAGUCCAACAUCCCCAUCCUAUAGUCCAACAUCCCCUUCCUAUAGUCCAACAUCCCCUUCCUAUAGUCCAACGUCCCCUUCCUACAGUCCAACAUCCCCUUCCUACAGCCCUACAUCACCUGCGUACAGCCCUACUUCCCCUGGCUACAGCCCUACAUCACCUAGCUACAGCCCUACUUCACCUAGCUACAGCCCUACUUCACCUAGUUUCAACCCACAGUCAGCGAAGUAUAGUCCUUCACUAGCAUAU